UAAUACGAAGGGGGCUAGCGUUGUUCGGAAUCACUGGGCGUAAAGCGUAUGCAGGCGGAUCGUUAAGUCGGGGGUGAAAUCCCGAGGCUCAACCUCGGAACUGCCUUCGAUACUGACGAUCUUGAGUCCGGGAGAGGUGAGUGGAACUCCGAGUGUAGAGGUGAAAUUCGUAGAUAUUCGGAAGAACACCAGUGGCGAAGGCGGCUCACUGGCCCGGUACUGACGCUGAGAUACGAAAGCGUGGGGAGCAAACAGGAUUAGAUACCCUGGUAGUCCACGCCGUAAACGAUGGGUGCUAGCCGUCGGCAAGCUUGCUUGUCGGUGGCGCAGCUAACGCAUUAAGCACCCCGCCUGGGGAGUACGAUCGCAAGAUUA
rnacentral:rRNA from 1 species